CGCUAUAAAACCAACACCAACUGUGUGCCGGCGCAUGGUGCUAGCGCAAUAGCGCCAUUGGUUUUUCUAUUCAACUUAAGCGCAACCCUUUGUUACAGUGCACUGAUUUAAUGUGAUAACGAUAAUAUCUUGCCAUCUCCUACUGUAGAUACCAUCAUUCUUUUAUUUCUUUUGGCGCAAUUUUAUGGAAUUUGGUCUGCAAAAUUCUUUAAAGGUAUCUUCGAUUUCAUAAAUAACGUCAACACGUGACAGCAACAGGUAAAAUAGGGGAACAACCUGGCAGUAUGGGCAUCAUCUAUUUCCAGUUAUCAAUUCCAAUGCCGAAAAUAUAAAAAUGUUACAACGGCAAGUCAAUAGACGGCAAUAGAUUGGUCAACAUCCGCGUAUUAUAUUACAAAGCCAUUGCACAGACAGUCUACCAUUUGCACUACUUAAAAUUGAAUGACACAUUUUAAAACUUUUAAUUAAAUUAAAGUAAAAUAAAAUGGCUACAAAAAAAACGAGUGACAUCUGGCUCAAUUUUUCUGAGGAAAAAGACCAAAAAGUCACAUGCAAGAGCUGUGGCCAAAAGUUGUCAGCGGAAAACAAGUCAAUCUGUUCAGCAUAUGAAGAGGAAGCACCCCACCCAGAUUAUUUCGAGGCAGACAAACGUAGUAAGUGAAAACAAUAGUGUUGAAUCGGGGCCACCUCCUCCACAAAGUCUUCAACUGCAGCAAACAAACCAGCUAACCAUUCAACAAAUUUUUCAGUACUUUAAUAAACCAA